AUAAAAGGUUUACUAGAAUACGGGGUAAUAUGGAGAACCUUUGUAUAAAAGGUUUACUAAAAUACAAGGUGAGCUAGAGAACCCUUGUAAUAAAGGUUUACUAGAAUACAGGGUGAGCUAGAGAACCCUUGUAUUACAGGUUUACUAGAAUACGGGGUAAUAUAGAGAACCUUUGUAUAAAAGGUUUACUAGAAUACAGGGUGAGCUAGAGAACCCUUGUAUAAAAGGUUUACUAGAAUACAGGGUGAGCUAGAGAACUCUUGUAUAAAAGGUUUACUAGAAUACAGAGUGAGUUUGAAUAUCCAAUGUAUGAGAGGUUUAUUGUAGGACAGGGUGAACAUUUUAACCCCUUGUAUAAAAGGUUAUUAUAAUACAAUGUGAAGCAGAAUAAACCCCUAAUCUAUGAUAGGUUAAUAAAAUACAUUAUUUUAAUUUGUUUUUAGAAAAGUAAAAAAAUGCGAAGAAUUUUUGAUUUAAGAGCCCUCAGUGCUCCUGUGGUCUUAAUAUUUGGUGUACUGUACUUCACUUGUUCCUCUUCAAAUACAUUCAAACAAUUGAAUUCUGGCGUGGAGGGGGGUCUAGGGGUUGAUGGUGAAGUACGAGAUUCUGUUAAGCAA